UAGUCAUGACAGUGGUAGUAGAAUGGAUCUGAGCAGAUUUGGGAGCUCAUAUGUUCAUGAAGUGUAUAAAAGCAGUGAAGUGUGUAAGACAUGUUUCUCCUCCCCUCACAUGAGCAGAAAUCUGAGAGAUGAGGAGAGUCCUGGGGCCAUAUGGCUCAGCUGGAGGUACCAGGAGUGCCCAGGCGAAACCAUGAGGUGGAAACGGUUUACUCGCUCUACUGAUUCAGUGUGCUAUCAAAGAGCUGCCGAACCUGUAAAGAACCCCCUCCCCCGCCGGCGGCCCAGGUACUAACCUGUGUGACAGGAAAAAAAUGGUAAAACCAUUUGACCCGGUGCUGGCCGCUGCAUCCUCCAUCCGGAUGAGGACUUCUCGUAAAAAUACAACAAAACAGGUUAAUUACCACGGUGACAUCUAUAACCAAGACUGGACGACAGACGCCAAAGACAAAGAGACGAGCCGAGCCCCUGUGAGACUAAUAAAGGGAAGAAAAGCACUUCCCAUCUGAAUUGGUGCCAUGUAUGAAGGAGCUAGUAUUCAGCUAUUUUGAAUUGCAUCACAGCGCCAAUUCCACUCAGGUAAUUGGUUUGCAUGCUCAGUUUCCGAACCUGAACUGUACGUCGAAAAAACUUCGCCCGGAGUCACACCUCAGGUCAGAUCUUUAUUACAAGAGAGGAAUGAAACGGUUCCUUUCUUCCCUUCCUCCACUGCAGAUAUACAAAGCGAACUUGUCGUCCAAAGAGCCGGAGGGUUAUUUUAAGCAGCCUCUGGCUGAGUGGCGUGUGCGUCGGGUAAUCAGCAUGCAAGGAGAGGUAAUUUAAAGAUGUCUCGUCGCUGACAAGAAUUAAAUUGUGUUUUGAUUUUCUCAUUAGCCUAAUCUCAAGUGGGCCUCGUUAUUGUGUAAUUUUCCGGCGUUGACACGACAUCUUGUUUUGGGAGCUGACAGCCUUAUGCUGUCGGGGAGGUGGAGGGGUAUCAAGCGUGAGCUCGGAGGACACUGAUUGGUCCCCUCCCUCUGAGCUGAUAUGAGCGGGGAUGUUAUAUAUCGACACCUGGGGCGUGGCUGGGGAGGGGGGACGUGACUGGCUUGGGCCUCUCAGAUGCAUCUUUCAAUGUCACUUUGUUUUUGAGAUGCCAUCACUUUUACAACAGAGUAAAUUAGCUUUUCAGGGUCCUGGCGUUUCUCUCUGGGAGGCUGUCGAAUCUUCCGUCAUUCCUCUCGCUCUGACACUAGCUUCACAUCCCAGUGCCGCCAGUCCCCCGUGAAUCCGAUAAGACCGGCGACCUCUAACGAAGUACACCCGUACAUGAACGUGCGCUGACACUUCGAACCCUUCAGAUGCGCUUCAUCGUUUUCACCUAAUGGCGAAAAUCUGGCUAGUUUCUUAUUGUAAAGCUGUGUUUUUACAGUGUUUAUUUAGC